AGACCUUGACAGUUGUAACCGAUAGACUGGGCUGGGGCAAUGCUGAUGAAAGGCAAAUUCCUGAGAGAAAAAUCACCCAGAUUUUUCAGUGCCUUCUCUAGCUUUCUGGAAGUUGUUAUGAGUGGACCUGACUACCUAGAGAGAGUAAUACAGAAGCUCCCUGCUGAUCACAGCUACCUCAUUACCAUGUUCCUCCAAGAUGGCCGCCCCUGAGGAGAAUCAUCAACUGGGCUUUACGGAAGAGAGAAAUCCAAACGACCAUCAGCAACAAAUGAAAGACUGAAGUUGAAAGGAAAUCCAUAAUUUUUGAAUGCUGGCUGAGGUCUGUGACCUCUGACUGAAUGGUUUCCAAGCUCCGAAUUCCUAGUUGCUGAAGAAGGGAAAGGCUCUCUGAUUUACGUGUAAGCAAAACAAUCUAAACAGUAGGAUAAAAUCAUGUUGGAAUGGAGUUCUGUGUGGAUGCUCCUUUGAACCAAAUCAGUUCCACAACUGACCCUGUCAGGGACAUAUAAAUUUAGCAUUUUGGUGUGGAUACAGAAGACGAGAUUAACACAGAUCAAGUAACAUGGAAAUAAAAAAGGAGACAAUGCUGGAUGAUACAGGGGCAGCAACAAGAGGAGAAAACCCAAGCAUUGGCAAAUGCCUCAUUAUCCAAAGAACACUGAGGUGUGCAGCAAAACUGUGUUGAAUGAACUGUAGAUGGAAAUUCUCUCCUUCCCACCGAGGAGCCGCUGCAGGUUGCAGACUCCCAGAAUGCCACACUGAGAAGAGGAGGGCUAAAAUUCUAGAGCAGAAUCCCUGGGGCAGCCCCUGCUGAAGAAGGGUGCAUCUGUUGAGAAUCUCAUCACCGCCCCCACCCCGCCCAGCCUUCAAUUUAGAGGAAUUUCUAGUUCACGCAGAAUGAAGACAAGAUCACAUAAGGGCCUCAGAGUAUGUCAGCUGGGGUCAGACGGGAACAGGAGUCUGGCUCAACACACAUUUAUUGCACUCCUGCUUCAUGCCAAGAAAUGCACCAAAAUCUGGGACUGUGUAACACAGCAAAGGAAAAGACUCAUCUCCAGGAAGCCCCCUUGUCUAGGAAGAGAAAUUGAAUAUCAGCAUAAGGUGGUGAAAAGCUAUGAAGGAGAUGAGUGCCACGAGUCCAUGGAGGAAGGAUUCUAGCCUGGACAGGUGAGGAAUGGCUUUCUGGAAGAAGCAGAUGCCCCAGCUGAACUUUAAAAUGCCCACGUGAAAUGAACUGUCUGUAUGUUCAACCAGCAAAUGGAGUAGGUGGCCACUGUUUAAUUCUGGAAUGGGGAAGUGUAAAGGUGUGGUGUGUGUGUUUACCCCUACUUAGGGAUUCAAAACAGACAGUAAAGAACAAAAGUCUAGCCCUUUGAGCAUUCUCCAUGGGACAUUUGAGGUCUAGCUGGCCCCAGAGAAAGAGAAACAGAAGCAAGGUCAUACCCAUUUGAGAAAAUCAAAGUGUCUGCUCCAAUUGAGUCUGGUGUCCUUAUUCCUGGAAUAGCCAUCCCUACUGCUCUGGUGCUGAUUUACCUCCGGCAGUUCAGUGCUUCCUGGAAGGUAGGCUGGGCUUUUUAACAAAGUGACUCCUUACUUGACAUGUUUUACCCAUACACAGAGGCCACUGCACUAUGUGCAAGAAACAACAAAAAAUUAAAUGAGACUCAAUGCCUUCCUUAGGGAUCUAAAACCCCAGUAACACAGAUAAACAGGUAAACAAAUAAUGGCAUGAUGGUGUGAUUCUAUAGCAACAGGAAUAGAGCACUGCAGGGCCACCGAAGGAAAAGGUGAUGACCUGGCUUGGAUUCAGUGAUAAAAAGGGGCUUACCUCCUUUCUCUGUUUCUGCUAAUAGCCAGUGAUUACCCCAUGCUUUUCCCAUGUUGGGCAUAGCUAUAAGUACUUUGGACAUAGCGGCACAUUUAAUCAUCAUGCAACAAUAAGAGGAAGCUGAGGCAGACAGAAGUGCCCGAAGUCACAUACUUGAAGCCAGGACUUGAACCUGGGCUAUCUGGUUCCUGAAUCCAUGCCUUUCACUAAUAAUUACUUACCCUCCAAUGAGGAACAAGCUCCAUUCUGGCCUUUCUUUAGCGAAGGCAACUGCCUGAGCUCAUGGUCUGAUCUGGCUUCUGGGAAAGAGAAAGCAGGGGAAACGUCUAGAGAUGGCAUACUGGGAGAAGAAAUUUCUUGCUGUGGAAUCCUGCCCCCAUCUCCCACCCCACCAUACACAACCCCACGUGCAUUUACACCUACACGCCGUGUACACAUGAACAUUUUUUCCCCUACUCCCAUGGGCCCCAACUCUGUCUUUUCAUCAAAAUCACCCAGAGUUUUAAAUAAAAUGCAGAUGUUGAGGCUUGUUCCUAAAUUAUAAUCUUG
rnacentral:lncRNA from 1 species